GACGAGGGGUCCUAGCGUUGUUCGGAAUCACUGGGCGUAAAGCGUAUGUAGGCGGCUUUUCAAGUCAGGUGUGAAAUCCCAUGGCUUAACCAUGGAACUGCAUUUGAAACUGUAAAGCUUGAGUAUUGGAGAGGAUGGUAGAAUUCCUGGUGUAGUGGUGAAAUACGUAGAUAUCAGGAGGAAUACCGGUGGCGAAGGCGGCGAUCUGGCCUAGUACUGACGCUGAGGUGCGAAAGCGUGGGGAGCAAACAGG
rnacentral:rRNA from 1 species